AUCUCGCUAGAUCACCUUCGCGUCGAUCUGAACGCCAUUGCCACAGCUGGAAGAGUGGGAUAGAUACUACUCGAAUCUCCAAGAAUGGCCAUGAAUUCCCAUACGUACGACAUGUGUGUGCUGCCCCGACAAGUUUGGUUAGUUUCAGAAUUUGCAGUGGCUUAAUUUCUUCUUUCUGAGACAAGAACAUCAUGUCCAAAUAAUCGAAUUGUAAAUACUUCUUGCUCAGACUGCGCGAAAAUGUCAUCGCGCAGGUCAGAACGAAGAAUUCAAGAUCAACUCCUGCAAAAUCGCUGUUCACAGUUGAUCAUGUUGAUAUAUAUAAUUUGCUCCAAAUUGUUGUU
rnacentral:sRNA from 1 species